rnacentral:rRNA from 1 species
AGUCGAGCGGUAGCACAGAGAGCUUGCUCUCGGGUGACGAGCGGCGGACGGGUGAGUAAUGUCUGGGAAACUGCCUGAUGGAGGGGGAUAACUACUGGAAACGGUAGCUAAUACCGCAUAACGUCGCAAGACCAAAGUGGGGGACCUUCGGGCCUCAUGCCAUCAGAUGUGCCCAGAUGGGAUUAGCUAGUAGGUGGGGUAAUGGCUCACCUAGGCGACGAUCCCUAGCUGGUCUGAGAGGAUGACCAGCCACACUGGAACUGAGACACGGUCCAGACUCCUACGGGAGGCAGCAGUGGGGAAUAUUGCACAAUGGGCGCAAGCCUGAUGCAGCCAUGCCGCGUGUAUGAAGAAGGCCUUCGGGUUGUAAAGUACUUUCAGCGAGGAGGAAGGCGUUAAGGUUAAUAACCUUGGCGAUUGACGUUACUCGCAGAAGAAGCACCGGCUAACUCCGUGCCAGCAGCCGCGGUAAUACGGAGGGUGCAAGCGUUAAUCGGAAUUACUGGGCGUAAAGCGCACGCAGGCGGUCUGUCAAGUCGGAUGUGAAAUCCCCGGGCUCAACCUGGGAACUGCAUUCGAAACUGGCAGGCUAGAGUCUUGUAGAGGGGGGUAGAAUUCCAGGUGUAGCGGUGAAAUGCGUAGAGAUCUGGAGGAAUACCGGUGGCGAAGGCGGCCCCCUGGACAAAGACUGACGCUCAGGUGCGAAAGCGUGGGGAGCAAACAGGAUUAGAUACCCUGGUAGUCCACGCCGUAAACGAUGUCGACUUGGAGGUUGUGCCCUUGAGGCGUGGCUUCCGGAGCUAACGCGUUAAGUCGACCGCCUGGGGAGUACGGCCGCAAGGUUAAAACUCAAAUGAAUUGACGGGGGCCCGCACAAGCGGUGGAGCAUGUGGUUUAAUUCGAUGCAACGCGAAGAACCUUACCUACUCUUGACAUCCAGAGAACUUAGCAGAGAUGCUUUGGUGCCUUCGGGAACUCUGAGACAGGUGCUGCAUGGCUGUCGUCAGCUCGUGUUGUGAAAUGUUGGGUUAAGUCCCGCAACGAGCGCAACCCUUAUCCUUUGUUGCCAGCGGUCCGGCCGGGAACUCAAAGGAGACUGCCAGUGAUAAACUGGAGGAAGGUGGGGAUGACGUCAAGUCAUCAUGGCCCUUACGAGUAGGGCUACACACGUGCUACAAUGGCAUAUACAAAGAGAAGCGACCUCGCGAGAGCAAGCGGACCUCAUAAAGUAUGUCGUAGUCCGGAUUGGAGUCUGCAACUCGACUCCAUGAAGUCGGAAUCGCUAGUAAUCGUAGAUCAGAAUGCUACGGUGAAUACGUUCCCGGGCCUUGUACACACCGCCCGUCACACCAUGGGAGUGGGUUGCAAAAGAAGUAGGUAGCUUAACCUUCG